UUUUUGGAGAGUUUGAUCCUGGCUCAGGACGAACGCUGGCGGCGUGCUUAACACAUGCAAGUCGAACGGGGUGUUUAUUUCGGUAAACACCAAGUGGCGAACGGGUGAGUAACGCGUAAGCAAUC
rnacentral:rRNA from 1 species